ACGGAAGGCAGCAGUGGGGAAUAUUGGGCAAUGGGGGAAACCCUGACCCAGCGACGCCGCGUGAGGGAAGACGGUCUUCGGAUUGUAAACCUCUGUCUUUCGGGACGAUAAUGACGGUACCGAGGGAGGAAGCCACGGCUAACUACGUGCCAGCAGCCGCGGUAAUACGUAGGUGGCAAGCGUUGUCCGGAAUUACUGGGUGUAAAGGGAGCGUAGGCGGGGGAGCAAGUUGGAUGUGAAAUCUAUGGGCUUAACCCAUAAAUUGCGUUCAAAACUGUUCUUCUUGAGUGAAGUAGAGGCAAGCGGAAUUCCUAGUGUAGCGGUGGAAUGCGUAGAUAUUAGGAGGAACACCAGUGGCGAAGGCGGCUUGCUGGGCUUUUACUGACGCUGAGGCUCGAAAGCGUGGGGAGCAAACAGGAUUAGAUACCCUGGUA
rnacentral:rRNA from 1 species